AGUGAACGCUGGCGGUAGGCCUAAUACAUGCAAGUCGAACGGCAGCACAGUAAGAGCUUGCUCUUACGGGUGGCGAGUGGCGGACGGGUGAGGAAUACAUCGGAAUCUACUUUUUCGUGGGGGAUAACGUAGGGAAACUUACGCUAAUACCGCAUACGACCUACGGGUGAAAGCAGGGGAUCUUCGGACCUUGCGCGAUUGAAUGAGCCGAUGUCGGAUUAGCUAGUUGGCGGGGUAAAGGCCCACCAAGGCGACGAUCCGUAGCUGGUCUGAGAGGAUGAUCAGCCACACUGGGACUGAGACACGGUCCAGACUCCUACGGGAGGCAGCAGUGGGGAAUAUUGGACAAUGGGCGCAAGCCUGAUCCAGCCAUACCGCGUGGGUGAAGAAGGCCUUCGGGUUGUAAAGCCCUUUUGUUGGGAAAGAAAAGCAGCAGGUUAAUACCCCGCUGUUCUGACGGUACCCAAAGAAUAAGCACUGGCUAACUUCGUG
rnacentral:rRNA from 1 species